rnacentral:misc_RNA from 1 species
GAAUUGCGAUAUGUAAUGUGAAUUGCAGAAUUCAGUGAAUCAUCGAAUCUUUGAACGCACAUUGCACCCUCUGGUAUUCCGGAGGGUAUGCCUGUUUGAGUGUCAUUAACAUGUCAACACAGAUGAGUUUUCCACACUCAUUCUGCUGCUUGGAUGUUGAAGGCUUGCUGGCAAGAAGGCAUUCUUAUUGUCAGCUCCUUUUAAAUUCAUUAGCAGGAACUUUGCAGAACUGGCUUCAGUUUGAUAAGAUUGAACUGCUGUUAGUGAAGCACAUUUGUUUCAGCUUACAAUUGUCCAGUUAUUGGACUGUCUCUCUUGAGGCAUAAACUCUGACUUGACCUCAAAUCAGGUAGGAUUACCCGCUGAACUUAA